UGGUGGCAUCUCUGUGUCCUGGUGCCAUCAUCCCUAGGGCUGGUGGUGGCAUCUCCAGGGCUGGCAUCGUUCUCCCCGUGCUGCUGGUACCUGCAGGGCUGGUGGCACCUCCCCACCCGUGUGUUGGCAUCUCCAUGGCUGCUGCUAUUGACAUCCCCAUGGCUGUUGGUGUCAUUUCCAUGGCUGUUGUUGGUGUCAUUCCCAUGGCUGUUGUUGGUGUCAUUAUUCCCAUGGCUGUUGUUGGUGUCAUUAUUUCCAUGGCUGCUGUUGGUGUCAUUAUUUCCAUGGCUGCUGCUGGUGACAUCUCCAGAGCCGGCGGCAUCUCCCCGUGCCGGUGCCGUCCCCGUUGCUGGUGGUGCUGCCGUUGGCCGCCCCGGUUGCGGUGGCAGCUCAGACGUUGCUGAUGCGGACGCUGAGUGGGGCUCCCUCACGCUCCGCCGCCUCCCGCAGCGUCUCCUCCAGCUUCACCUUCUCGGGGUCCCCGAACCGCACGGUGUCGCGGACGCAACACGGCGCCGCCACCUUCACCACCUGGUCGAAGAGGCUGAAAUCCGCCACGUAUUUCCCGCUGGCCGACAGCGAGAUGGCGGGGCUGAACUCGUAUCCCCAGAGGAUCUCCUCGGGCAGGUAGGACGUGCGCACCUGGCACGUGGCGCUGGUGGACUCCACGGUGCCGCUGAGAAUCACCACCAGCUCAAAGUCCCCCUCGCCCGCCCGCAGCGCCGCGUCGCGGAAGGGGCUGGCGUCGUCCACCACGUGGUAGAAGGUGAGGGGCAGGAUGAGGAAGGGGCUGUCGGACGACGUGUCCACCUGGAAGUCCACGUUGAGCUGGUUGAGCCGCACGCUCUCGCCCUCCUUGGUCAGGUGCGUCUGCAGCAGCUUCCCCGUCACCUGGCAGCCGAUCAGGAGGCUCUUGCGCAUGUUGGCCACGCGGAUCAUCAGGCAGGUCUUGCCGUCGUGCUGGGCCACCACGGCGUUCUGGCUGAACUUGAUGGUCUCCGCUCGUUUCUUGGGCCGCGCGAUCUUGGCCAGGAAGGUUCCGGUGAUGAAGAUCUCCAUGAUGGUGGUGAGCACCAGCUGCGUGAUGAGCAGCACGAUGGCCAGCGGGCAUUCCUCGCUGAUGUAGCGGAAGCCGUAGCCGAUGGUGGUCUCGGUCUCCAGGGAGAAGAGGAAGGCGCCGGUCAGCGUGUGCACCUGCAUGACGCACGGCGUGUGGUUGGCCGGCGGCUCGAACUCCAGCAGGUCGCCGUGCACCGCAGCCACCAGGUACCAGACGACGCCGAACGCGAACCAGGUGCCGGCGAAGGUGGCGGAGAAGAGGAGCAGCUUGUAGCGCCACUGCAUGUCGAUGAAGGUGGUCCACAGGUCCUUGAGGUACAGGAAGCGCUUGUCGGCGAUGUGCUCCAUGCGCACGUUGCUGCGGCCAUCCUUGGUCAUGACGCGGCGCCGCCGCAGCGCCGUGCCGAUCAGAGGGCGGCUGUCGGUCUGCGUGGUCUGGCUGUAGUACACCUUGGUGGCCGACGUCAUCUGGGGGGGGAUGGGAACAGGGUGAGGGGGAGAAACACAGGAGGGGGCUCAGGGGGAGGGGGAGGAAUGGAGGAAGGAUUGGAAGGAUGGAGGAGAGCGAAGGGUUGA
ensembl:lncRNA